AGAAUCAACGCUGGCGGCGUGCCUAACACAUGCAAGUCGCACGAGAAAGGGGAGCAAUCCCUGAGUACAGUGGCGCACGGGUGAGUAACACGUGAAUGAUCUACCUCCGAGUGGGGAAUAACUGAGAGAAAUCUUAGCUAAUACCGCAUAAUACCCACGGGUCAAAGCAGUAAUGCGCUUGGAGAGGAGUUCGCGGCAGAUUAGUUAGUUGGCGGGGUAAUGGCCCACCAAGACGAUGAUCUGUAUCCGGCCUGAGAGGGCGCACGGACACACUGGAACUGAAACACGGUCCAGACUCCUACGGGAGGCAGCAGUGGGGAAUUUUGCGCAAUGGGGAAACCCUGACGCAGCAACGCCGCGUGGAGGAUGAAGCCCCUUGGGUCGUAACUCCUUUCGAUCGGGAAGAUAUGACGGUACCGAUAUAAGAGCCCGGCUAACUUCGCGCCAGCAGCCGC
rnacentral:rRNA from 1 species